AGCCGUUAUCAAGUUUCCGCUUAGACCACAGUGUCGCUAGCAGCUAACUAGGCUCGAUGGUGGAUGCAAGCUUCGCGAGAAAAAUACCUCUACCCAACACAAGUGGCGCUGCGAAUAUCCUCAGUCGCAGGUCGCAGUACCGCUACUUUUUGAAAUUUCGAGAAUCGUAUGAUCACACUGAUCACAUCCCAGCAUCUCUAAGGACCAAGGAUCAACAAGAAGUAUUUAUUAACUCUAUCCUGAGUACCAAGCAGCAAUAAGAAGAAACUAGUCCAAUCAAAGUACGAGCCUACCAUAAUAACGAAAAAUAUUCGUGCUUUGUUUGGAAAGUGGAAAGCAGAAAGGGAUAAACAGCACGUUGACCAGCUAACAAAACUCUCGAAACAAUUAAUAAACUUCUGAGUAUUGUCCAUUUAUUCUCAAGUAGCUGGGUCAUGGCUGAAAUUCUCUAUGUAUUCGGUGAGGAAAGGAGGGCUCAGAUGUUGUUUGGUUGUCAAGUCAGCAGAGACACGGAUCACACGGACAACAAAGACACCAAAACCGCGAUGAGGAUGCCUGAGGAUUGCUUCGGCUGCAGAAUGGUAUCUGGAGGUGGACUCAUUGGCGCAGGACUCUAUAUUGCAUUCCAAAGCAAAAGAGCAAAUAACCUCUCAGUUAAAGUUGCAAUGAAUACUAUUGCAUUAGGUGCUGCAGGUCUUGGCUGUGCAAGGAUCUUGAACCUUCCUCCAUUUAACAACAUUCACAAGGCAAACAAGGAAACCCCCACUUCUCUUCAAAGCACAACAGAAACAAAUUAGCGAACAUUAGCAGAGUACUGUUCCCACUACAUAAGACUGGGUAUCAAUGCGAUUUAUGCUUGUUAAAGCAGUUUCUGCUACAAUCACGCUAGUUGCGGCUUGGUACAAUAAACGCUUUCAAUAAUCUA